UGGGGAAUUUUGGACAAUGGGCGAAAGCCUGAUCCAGCAAUGCCGCGUGUGUGAAGAAGGCCUUCGGGUUGUAAAGCACUUUUGUCCGGAAAGAAAUCCUUGGCUCUAAUACAGUCGGGGGAUGACGGUACCGGAAGAAUAAGCACCGGCUAACUACGUGCCAGCAGCCGCGGUAAUACGUAGGGUGCAAGCGUUAAUCGGAAUUACUGGGCGUAAAGCGUGCGCAGGCGGUUUGCUAAGACCGAUGUGAAAUCCCCGGGCUCAACCUGGGAACUGCAUUGGUGACUGGCAGGCUAGAGUAUGGCAGAGGGGGGUAGAAUUCCACGUGUAGCAGUGAAAAUGCGUAGAGAUGUGGAGGAAUACCGAUGGCGAAGGCAGCCCCCUGGGCCAAUACUGACGCUCAUGCACGAAAGCGUGGGGGAGCAAAACAGGAUUAGAUACCCUGGUAGUCCACGCCCUAAAACGAUGUCAACUAGUUGUUGGGGAUUCAUUUUCCUUAGUAACGUAGCUAACGCGUGAAGUUGACCGCCUGGGGAGUACGGUCGCAAGAUUAAAACUUAAAUGAAUUGACGGGGUCAUAGCUGUUUCCU
rnacentral:rRNA from 1 species